CGCGUAGGUUGGUUUGUUAAGUUGGAUGUGAAAUCCCCGGGCUCAACCUGGGAACUGCAUUCAAAACUGACUGACUAGAGUAUGGUAGAGGGUGGUGGAAUUUCCUGUGUAGCGGUGAAAUGCGUAGAUAUAGGAAGGAACACCAGCGGCGAAGGCGACCACCUGGACUGAUACUGACACUGAGGUGCGAAAGCGUGGGGAGCAAACA
rnacentral:rRNA from 1 species